AACGAACGCUGGCGGCAUGCCUAACACAUGCAAGUCGAACGAGACCUUCGGGUCUAGUUGCGCACGGGUGCGUAACGCGUGGGAACCUGCCCUUAGGUUCGGAAUAACUCCCCGAAAGGGGUGCUAAUACCGGAUAAUGUCUUCGGACCAAAGAUUUAUCGCCUUUGGAUGGGCCCGCGUUGGAUUAGCUAGUUGGUAGGGUAAAAGCCUACCAAGGCGACGAUCCAUAGCUGGUCUGAGAGGAUGAUCAGCCACACUGGGACUGAGACACGGCCCAGACUCCUACGGGAGGCAGCAGUGGGGAAUAUUGUACGAUGGGCGAAAGCCUGAUACAGCAAUGCCGCGUGAGUGAUGAAGGCCUUAGGGUUGUAAAGCUCUUUUACCCGGGGUGAUAAUGACAGUACCGGGAGAAUAAGCUCCGGCUAACUCCGUG
rnacentral:rRNA from 1 species